rnacentral:rRNA from 1 species
CCUACGUGUGGCAGCAGUGAGGAAUAUUGGUCAAUGGCCGAGAGGCUGAACCAGCCAAUUCGCGUGAGGGAAGACGGCCCUACGGGUUGUAAACCUCUUUUGUCGGGGAGCAAAGGCGCCCACGUGUGGGCGGAUGAGUGUACCCUAAGAAAAAGCAUCGGCUAACUCCGUGCCAGCAGCCGCGGUAAUACGGAGGAUGCGAGCGUUAUCCGGAUUUAUUAGGUUUAAAGGGUGCGCAGGCGGAAGAUCAAGUCAGCGGUAAAAUUGAGAGGCUCAACCUCUUCGAGCCGUUGAAACUGGUGUUCUGGAGUGAGUGAGAAGUAUGCGGAAUGCGUGGUGUAGCGGUGAAAUGCAUAGAGAUCACGCAGAACUCCGAUUGCGAAGGCAGCAUACCGGCGCUCAACUGACGCUCAUGCACGAAAGUGUGGGUAUCGAACAGGAUUAGAUACCCCAGUAGUC